rnacentral:rRNA from 1 species
AGGUUAAGUUAAUAAGGGCGCACGGUGGAUGCCUUGGCACUAGAAGCCGAUGAAGGACGUGACUAACGACGAAAUGCUUUGGGGAGUUGUAAGUAAACAUUGAUCCAGAGAUGUCCGAAUGGGGGAACCCGGCAUGUGAAGCAUGUCACUCAUUACUGUUAAGGUAAUGAAGAGGAAGACGCAGUGAACUGAAACAUCUAAGUAGCUGCAGGAAGAGAAAGCAAACGCGAUUGCCUUAGUAGCGGCGAGCGAAACGGCAAGAGGGCAAACCGAUGUGUUUACACAUCGGGGUUGUAGGACUGCGUUGUGGGACGCAAGAUUAUAGAAGAAUUACCUGGGAAGGUAAGCCAAAGAGAGUAAUAGCCUCGUAAUCGAAAUAAUCUUAAACCCUAGCAGUAUCCUGAGUACGGCGAGACACGAGAAAUCUCGUCGGAAUCCGGGAGGACCAUCUCCCAACCCUAAAUACUCUCUAGUGACCGAUAGUGAACCAGUACCGUGAGGGAAAGGUGAAAAGCACCCCGGGAGGGGAGUGAAAUAGAACCUGAAACCGUGUGCCUACAACAAGUUCGAGCCCGUUAAUGGGUGAGAGCGUGCCUUUUGUAGAAUGAACCGGCGAGUUACGAUAUGAUGCGAGGUUAAGUUGAAGAGACGGAGCCGUAGGGAAACCGAGUCUUAAUAGGGCGCUUUAGUAUCAUGUCGUAGACCCGAAACCAUGUGACCUACCCAUGAGCAGGGUGAAGGUGAGGUAAAACUCACUGGAGGCCCGAACCAGGGCACGUUGAAAAGUGCUUGGAUGACUUGUGGGUAGCGGAGAAAUUCCAAACGAACUUGGAGAUAGCUGGUUCUCUCCGAAAUAGCUUUAGGGCUAGCGUCGAUGUUAAGUCUCUUGGAGGUAGAGCACUGUUUGAUUGAGGGGUCCAUCCCGGAUUACCAAUAUCAGAUAAACUCCGAAUGCCAAUGAGAUAUAAUCGGCAGUCAGACUGCGAGUGCUAAGAUCCGUAGUCGAAAGGGAAACAGCCCAGACCACCAGCUAAGGUCCCAAAAUAUAUGUUAAGUGGAAAAGGAUGUGGGGUUGCACAGACAACUAGGAUGUUAGCUUAGAAGCAGCUAUUCAUUCAAAGAGUGCGUAAUAGCUCACUAGUCGAGUGACCCUGCGCCGAAAAUGUACCGGGGCUAAAACAUAUUACCGAAGCUGUGGAUACCUAUUAUAGGUAUGGUAGGAGAGCGUUCUAUGUGUGAAGAAGGUGUACCGUGAGGAGCGCUGGAACGCAUAGAAGUGAGAAUGCCGGUAUGAGUAGCGAAAGACAGGUGAGAAUCCUGUCCACCGUAAGACUAAGGUUUCCAGGGGAAGGCUCGUCCGCCCUGGGUUAGUCGGGACCUAAGGAGAGACCGAAAGGUGUAUCCGAUGGCCAACAGGUUGAUAUUCCUGUACUAGAGUAUAUAGUGAAGGAGGGACGCAGUAGGCUAACUAAAGCGUGCGAUUGGAAGAGCACGUCUAAGCAGUGAGGUGUGAUAUGAGUCAAAUGCUUGUAUCUCUAACAUUGAGCUGUGAUGGGGAGCGAAGUUAAGUAGCGAAGUUAGUGAUGUCACACUGCCAAGAAAAGCUUCUAGCGUUAAUUAUACUCUACCCGUACCGCAAACCGACACAGGUAGUCGAGGCGAGUAGCCUCAGGUGAGCGAGAGAACUCUCGUUAAGGAACUCGGCAAAAUGGCCCCGUAACUUCGGGAGAAGGGGCGCUGGCUUUAAGUCAGCCGCAGUGAAUAGGCCCAAGCAACUGUUUAUCAAAAACACAGCUCUCUGCUAAAUCGUAAGAUGAUGUAUAGGGGGUGACGCCUGCCCGGUGCUGGAAGGUUAAGAGGAGCGCUUAGCGUAAGCGAAGGUGUGAAUUGAAGCCCCAGUAAACGGCGGCCGUAACUAUAACGGUCCUAAGGUAGCGAAAUUCCUUGUCGGGUAAGUUCCGACCCGCACGAAAGGCGUAAUGAUUUGGGCACUGUCUCAACGAGAGACUCGGUGAAAUUUUAGUACCUGUGAAGAUGCAGGUUACCCGCGACAGGACGGAAAGACCCCAUGGAGCUUUACUGCAGUUUGAUAUUGAGUAUCUGUACCACAUGUACAGGAUAGGUAGGAGCCUAUGAAAUCGGGACGCUAGUUUCGGUGGAGGCGUUGUUGGGAUACUACCCUUGUGUUAUGGCUACUCUAACCUAGAUAGGUGAUCCCUAUCGGAGACAGUGUCUGACGGGCAGUUUGACUGGGGCGGUCGCCUCCUAAAAGGUAACGGAGGCGCCCAAAGGUUCCCUCAGAAUGGUUGGAAAUCAUUCGCAGAGUGUAAAGGUAUAAGGGAGCUUGACUGCGAGAGCUACAACUCGAGCAGGGACGAAAGUCGGGCUUAGUGAUCCGGUGGUUCCGCAUGGAAGGGCCAUCGCUCAACGGAUAAAAGCUACCCUGGGGAUAACAGGCUUAUCUCCCCCAAGAGUUCACAUCGACGGGGAGGUUUGGCACCUCGAUGUCGGCUCGUCGCAUCCUGGGGCUGUAGUCGGUCCCAAGGGUUGGGCUGUUCGCCCAUUAAAGCGGCACGCGAGCUGGGUUCAGAACGUCGUGAGACAGUNNNNNNNNNNGAACGUCGUGAGACAGUUCGGUCCCUAUCCGUCGCGGGCGUAGGAAAUUUGAGAGGAUCUGCUCCUAGUACGAGAGGACCAGAGUGGACUUACCGCUGGUGUACCAGUUGUCUUGCCAAAGGCAUCGCUGGGUAGCUAUGUAGGGAAGGGAUAAACGCUGAAAGCAUCUAAGUGUGAAGCCCACCUCAAGAUGAGAUUUCCCAUGAUUUAAUAUCAGUAAGAGCCCUGAGAGAUGAUCAGGUAGAUAGGUUAGGAGUGGAAGUGUGGUGACACAUGUAGCGGACUAAUACUAAUAGCUCGAGGACUUAUCCAAA